rnacentral:rRNA from 1 species
AUUGAACGCUGGCGGCAGGCCUAACACAUGCAAGUCGAGCGAGCGGCGGACGGGUGAGUAAUGUAUGGGGACUGCCCGAUAGAGGGGGAUCACUACUGGAAACGGUGGCUAAUACCGCAUACUAUCGGAUCACCCAUAUGGGAUUAGCUAGUAGGGGGGGUAAAGGCUCACCUAGGCGACGAUCUCUAGCUGGUCUGAGAGGAGGAUCCACCACACUGGGAACGAGAAACGGCCCAGACGCCUACGGAGGCCGCAGGGGGGAAUAGUUGCACAUGGGGUCAAGCCCGAUUCAGCCCAGCCGGGUGUAAUAAGAAGGCCUUAGGGGUGUAAAGGUCUUUUAGGGGGGAGGCGUUACCCGCAGAAGAAGCACCGGCUAACUCCGUGCCAGCAGCCGCGGUAAUUC